GGCUUUUUUAUUUUUUAUUAUUAUUUGUUAUAUUAUGAAAUAUAUUUAUUGAUUGUAUUAUUAUUAAUAUUUUUUAUAAAUAAAAAGUAACAAAAAGUAGUAAAAGUUUUUAUUGAUAAUAUUUUUUAAAUUCCCAAGAAACGGUAAGCAAGGUCAAGUGUGUACAUACUGAGGUACACUCGUGCUGCCUCGCCUCUCACCUUUGACUCAUGCCCAAAAAACUGCCUCUAACCCAAGCAGUGAUGAAGUGUGGCGAGGCAGCUCAAGCAUACCACGUAAACUCACACACUCGCUUUCCCUCUCCAUAUGUGUAUUUUGUAUUGCCGGCAUUAGAAAUAUGUACAGUUAAGAACAAAAGUAAAUCACCGCUAUAUCGCAUUGGCAUGAAAAACUACGUCAUCGAUGUCAAAUGUGACGGAAUCGGCGAAGUAGAUAUUAAUAAUGCAUAAUAAUAUCGAAUAACAGGCAUUCCAUUGUUGAAUAUAUAUUUUUAAUACUUUCAAUCAAAUAACUUGAAAUAAUAUAAU
rnacentral:lncRNA from 1 species